UACGUAGGGUGCGAGCGUUGUCCGGAAUUAUUGGGCGUAAAGAGCUCGUAGGCGGUCUGUCGCGUCGGUCGUGAAAACUUGGGGCUUAACCCUGAGCUUGCGGUCGAUACGGGCAUGACUGGAGUUCGGUAGGGGAGAUUGGAAUUCCUGGUGUAGCGGUGAAAUGCGCAGAUAUCAGGAGGAACACCGGUGGCGAAGGCGGGUCUCUGGGCCUGUACUGACGCUGAGGAGCGAAAGCGUGGGGAGCAAACAGG
rnacentral:rRNA from 1 species